rnacentral:snoRNA from 1 species
AGGUCCAUUCUAAUUCCUGGCAGGUUGGUGCCAGUACCUGCUAGGUUUCGCUUGUGGACCACAGUAUACUGGAAGACUUACAUGUGUGUGAGCUUACUCGUGAGUUUGCUCAUGACAUAGUUUUCUGGACAUGU